CCCCCCCCCCCCCCCCCCCCCUCACUGAUUUGUUCGGCUGUGGAGCUGCUUGUGAUUGGACGAUCCUGAAUUCACGGACAUCUGAGGGGGUCCACCCCCACCUCCUGACAUCCUGUUUACUUCCUGUACCUGCUGCCCGCGCUGUCAGCUGAUUGGCUGGAGGUUUCACCUGUCCGUCACAGCACGUUUAUACUCUGAAACGCCCACCAUGACCUGCUGAUAUCACCUCACCCCCUCACCCUUCUCCUCCUCUUCCUCUUCCUCCUUCUCCUCCUCCUCCCCUCUCUGUCCCACAAAAUGGCAUCAACUGAUUGGCUGUCACCAUGGCAGCCUCCGCUGGCGCUGCUCCUGCUCGCUUCCUGUUUCCUGUCAGAGUCUGCCUCGACCACGCCUUUCCCCAAAGACCUGGAACCAAUCAGUGCAGUCGGCUGGGAGCAGUCGUAUCAGUUUCCAGGGUUUCAGGGUUUACUGCAGGACAACGACACGCUGAGACUCGGCCUCGACUUCCAGAGGAUGUUACGCAUCAACCACAUGCUGUACAUCGC